UAGAUAAGUAUGUCGAAUUUAUGUUUUAAUCAUGACUUGUUACCAUGAGUGUUGCUGUUAUUUCUUGACUGACUUUCACGUAAGUGAGAUUUAGCAUUCGCACAUUGGAAGUAUAAAUAAAUAAAUACGUUAGACUCGUACGCUCAAGAAACGCAACUUUCUACCAACUUGGUCUCUGGAAAUUCUUGAAAGAAAAUUGAACAGCUGCUUCGAGCGAGUGACUCACGCCAGCACGGAGAAAGGCCCGAUACCAAAACGAGAUGGUAAAACUCGAAUUUCGUCUGGAUGAUUCAACGGAAUGAAAUCAGAUAAUCCGUGAUAAUCGUCAGUUACUUCGUUUUUCGAUAAAACGAGUUUGUGCAAUCUGUGAAUCUCUGAACCAAGAUUCGCGAUUAGCAUUGAUUGCUUUUUAAUCAUUUAUUAAUCGAAAGAAUUUAAUAGUUUGAUAGAAGAUAUAAAAGAAUAAUUGAAAAAUUCAAUAUAAUAAUAAAAUUACGUUUGUUUCCAUCAAAGUAACCGACGUAGAAAUUCUGCGAUUAAAGAAUCUAAUUUCACUUGCAUGUUCAUUUACAAAGCACAGAUAAAGAUACGCAAAAGAAUAAUCUUGCAAUCUCGAGUCUCGAUAUUCAUGCAAACUGAAUCUUAUCGAUGAAUCGAAACAAUUUAAAGGUCUAAAAAGUUUUUAAAAAAGUAAUUUGUAAGAAUAGAUUGAUUUUUAUUUACCUUUAUGCUCGUCAUUGACAAAGGAAAGUUAAGAAGAAUAUUGGAAAAAGUCCAUAUAAUAAAAUUAAAUUCACUAUCGUCGAAAAAUUCCACCGACAAAAUAAUCCAAAUCCGCUUUCGCGUAUUUUCACUAAGCACGAAAGGAGUAAAUCCACAAAGGAAUAAUCCUGUAACAAAUUUCAAAGCAAUCCUUUCGCAAACACAGUAUCGAUAAUCCAGAAACGAAAUAAUCCAUUUCCAUAUAGAUCAAAAAACAGAAAUCCUGAUGUUCACAAUCACGGUACAAAUAUAUUAAACCGUCAAUAGUUCACUUUCGCACAGAAAUUGAAAAGCACAGAUUUAAAAAUAUCAACAUUUCGUUGAAGAGCAGAAGACUAUGAUAAUUUCCAUCGCGACAUUUGAACAACCAGAUGACAGAUCCUCUUAGUAAAUACUUGGCAGCCUCCACGAAGAUUCCAGGAAGAUCAUUUACUUUGUUGGAGUUGCCUUGAGAUCGACCGUCGGAGAACCAGUCAGCCAACAACAGGCCAGGUAUAAUGUAAAAGCGCGAGGCGUGCAGUUCGUGUUAAUGGAAUGCGGAAUAUACAUUCCUGGCUCGGUUACGUAAGCGUGGACAGGUACAACAGCUCGUACCAGCCGAUCAUCGAUCUUCCUACGGUGUUCUUUUCACGCCACCCAGUCAUGUCAUCGCGAACCGUGUCCGUGAACACUAUCUCGUGUUCUUGGUAAUUAGUAACAGCCUUUAAUUAGAAAUGUCGAACUUCCAUCCAAUGAACAUUGAUAUAAUCUUUCGUUAGUUAAAUUUCUAAUUAUUUAGAGUCUUCUGUGCUCCUUUCGAGAAUUAAAUUUUAAAGUAGAACGUGGAUAUUUGGAGAGGAGCACCGUCAGUGGAUCGAUCUGUGCAACCAAAUUGCUUCGUUAGAGUAAAAACACGAAAGCAUAACGCGCCGACCGUUAUUCGAGAAGUGUCUCCGAGCGUCUGGCUGAAAUUAUUAAACCACAUGUUCGACGUGCUCAUGGAACCUGUUAUUCUGUUUCAAAGGAGGAUUAUCAACUCUGUAAAAUAUAAGACCGUCUUCCAAUGUUCGCCAACCUAGUUUCUAACUUCGCUAACCCACUUUUCAACAAUCGCACGAUUCUUCCAAACUCUGCGAAAAUCCUCUUCGAUCAGAGGAAAAAUUGCAAAGCCUCGGGAACACAGGAUGAAUCGCCUGGAGACUCGAAAUCGAGGCAGGAGAAGGAGAGCUAACGGAGAAAUUGAGCACUAUUAAGUCUCUGACAAUAGCGAAGAAAAUGGAAGAACGUCUAUUACCGAAGAAGACGAGCAUCGGUGGCGAACAGGAACAGAAACAGCGGCAGCAACAGCAACGAUCGCUCUAAAUUACCCCGUGACUCCACCGGAGAACAAUGCGGUGGAAUGCGCCGCGAACCGUCUUCCGGCUAUGAGAGAAACGAUCGUGGUCGAACCACGCUUAUACGAGUUCGUAUGAGAAAUUGCAACGGUGUAACAAUGCUUGUUCCAUAGGAUAGACGCGAACACGUUCGUAUAAACAUCGAGGGAAAGGUAUCUUUACCUUUUUGCUAGAGUCACUUCUUGUCCGCGCAUAGUGAGUCAUAGAUGUUGUAGAAACGGCGAGAAAUCCCCUUGUUGAGGAUUCUGUGAUAAUUUAUUUAAGUACCUCUUGGUUACAUUCCGAAUUUUAUUGAAAUCUUUCAUCUCGGUCUUUAUAAUACAUACACACAUACACAUGCAUAUAUAUAAGUAUAAAUAUUUAUCUGUUUAAAAAAUGUAUGGCGCGUGCACAAUAGUACAUAUAAUAUUGAAUAUAUAGAAUCUAUAAAAUGUCUAAAAAAAAAAAAAAUCUAAAAGAGUCGUAAGAAUUCGUAAAAUCUGCGAAAACCUUCUACAAUGAACUUUCAACAACCAAACCUCAUUAUCGCGAAUAGUCUAAUCUUCUGAGUCAACCUGAUCACAAAUGGAUUUGAAUGUAAGAGAGGAACUUGAAAAAAAUUCUCAUUAGUCAACGCGGUAGCAGCAGAGAGAAGCUAUUUCACAGCGAGUAAGCAAAGAAAGGAAAUGAUUGGAAGGGAACGAAGGGCACGAGCAGCCAGACGAGCAUUGUUCCGGUUAAUCCUCUUACCGCGAUUUUUGUCUGCCCUGAUCGACGCGGGUAUCCGAAAAAUGCAAACAGUUACACGAACGAAGCGAACUAACGGCGUCACGGCCAUCCGAAUAACGCAUAGAUCCGUUACUUUUGCAAAGAGCAGAAGGGAACGAACAACCGUAAAAUCGCAGCUCUACAUCAGCGAACGAUUUCGAAAGUUCAUGGAAACGAUGUCAUCCUGGUGCCACGUGGAGAACGUAGGCAAUGACAUCGACGCGACAUCGAUGAUACGAACGCUACGAAUGUUCCAUUCCUAGCGAACGUCUGUUAGAUCGAUUCCAUCGCUUGGAAUAAUGAAAUCUUCUGCACGGUUGGGAUUUACAACUUGAAUUCUUGCUGUUAUACUUCAACUUAUACUUAGCUCUCAAGUCGUUUCAUAAAAGUAGCAAAUCUUCUGUUUGUACUGGCAAUUUAUUUAUGUUGACAAUUCAAGAAAACAGUUGGAGAUAUUUGAUUUGAAUUGAAAAAUGGUUCUCGCACUUCGUAUUACAUAUAUGCAUUGCUAUCUGUUUAAUAAAAUGAUAUUUAUAAAAUAGCUCUUAUAAAAUAGUAUUUAUGAAAUGGUACUUGUAGAAGCAGAUUAAAAAAAGAUUUUAUAUCCAAAUUAUUCGAAUUUCUAAAAGUAUCGAAUUCAAUUUACCACGAAUCGUAAUCGGAAUUAUUGACAGUUACGAAUGCUAAAUGGCAGUUUAAAAUGGACAUUCGCGAUGCUUUCGAUGACGAUAACGUACUUAUUUUAUCGAUUUCGAAAUUGCAACAGCUCACAGCGUGUCGAGUAUUAUAAGGCAAACGGAACAUCAGAAUCGUUGCCAUAAGACGCUUCAUUUCGUCGCCGAUAUUGGCUAUUCUCUAUCGCGUACAUAGAAAUAAAAUUUGUACAGUGAUUCACCAGGCAGAUACCCAAGAGAAGACAUUAAACCAGAAACUUCGUUGAACGAAACGGUGCUCCGUUACGUCUCGAAAUUUCGUGUAUGACCGCGCAAACUAAUCAAAUUUCAAUCGCAAAUAGGAUUUCGCCCAGGCCCCAGGUUGAAACCGACUCCGAUAUUGAGAUAGAACCAACGUAGUAACGAAGCAGAAUAAUGUUAAAUUAUAUUUAAUAAAGAAAAUAUAUUUAAAUUA